UUACGGGAGGCAGCAGUGGGGAAUUUUGCGCAAUGGGGGAAACCCUGACGCAGCAACGCCGCGUGAGUGAUGAAGGCCUUCGGGUCGUAAAGCUCUGUCUAGAGGAAAGAAGUGUGGGGUGGCUAAUAUCCACUUCACUUGACGGUACCUCUGAAGGAAGCACCGGCUAACUCCGUGCCAGCAGCCGCGGUAAUACGGAGGGUGCGAGCGUUGUUCGGAUUUAUUGGGCGUAAAGCGCGUGUAGGCGGUUUCUUAAGUCUGAUGUGAAAGCCCCGGGCUCAACCUGGGAAGUGCAUUGGAUACUGGGAGACUUGAAUACGGGAGAGGGUAGUGGAAUUCCUAGUGUAGGAGUGAAAUCCGUAGAUAUUAGGAGGAACACCGGUGGCGAAGGCGGCUACCUGGACCGAUAUUGACGCUGAGACGCGAAAGCGUGGGUAGCAAACAGGAUUAGAUACCCUGGUAGA
rnacentral:rRNA from 1 species